AGAGUUUGAUCCUGGCUCAGGACGAACGUUGGCGGUGCGCUUAAUGCAUGCAAGUCGAGGGAGAACCAUUCGAUCCGUAAGGACUGGAUGGGGAAACCGGCGAACGGGUGCGUAACACGUGAGGAACCUGCCCCGAAGACCGGGGUAGCCCGAGGAAACUCGGAUUAAUACCGGAUACCCUCUUUGGACCACAUGGUCCGCUGAGGAAAUGGUCCGCCGCUUCGGGAUGGCCUCGCGGCCUAUCAGCUUGUUGGUGAGGUAACGGCUCACCAAGGCAAAGACGGGUAGCUGGUCUGAGAGGACGAUCAGCCACACUGGGACUGAGACACGGCCCAGACUCCUACGGGAGGCAGCAGCAGGGAAUAUUGCACAAUGGGCGAAAGCCUGAUGCAGCGACACCGCGUGCGGGAUGAAGGCCCUCGGGUUGUAAACCGCUUUCAGGAGGGACGAAAAUGACGGUACCUCCAGAAGAAGGCCCGGCCAACUACGUGCCAGCAGCCGCGGUAAUACGUAGGGGCCAAACGUUGUCCGGAUUUAUUGGGCGUAAAGGGCUCGUAGGCGGUUCAACAAGUCGAUCGUGAAAGCCCGGGGCUCAACCCCGGGACGCCGGUCGAAACUGUUGUGACUAGGGUCCGGUAGAGGUGAGUGGGAUUCUCGGUGUAGCGGUGGAAUGCGCAGAUAUCGAGAGGAACACCAGUU
rnacentral:rRNA from 1 species